AGUGAACGCUGGCGGUAGGCCUAACACAUGCAAGUCGAACGAAAACACAGUAAGCUCUUGCUCUUACGGUUGGCGGGUGGCGGACGGGUGAGGAAUACAUCGGCAUCUACUUUUUCGUGGUGGAUAUCGUAGAGAAACUUCCACUACUACCGCAUACUACCUACGGGUGAAAUCAGGGGUUCUUCGUACCUUUCGCGAUUUAUUUAGCCGAUGUCGUAUUAGCUAGUUGGCUUGGUAACGGCCCACCAAGGCAACGCUCCGUAGCUGGUCUGAGAGGAUGAUCAGCCACACUGGAACUGAGACACGGUCCAGACUCCUACGGGAGGCAGCAGUGGGGAAUAUUGGGCAAUGGGCGAAAGCCUGAUCGAGCCAUGCCGCGUGAGUGAAGAAGGUCUUCGGAUCGUAAAGCACUGUUGUUAGGAAAGAAAAGAAGCAGGAGAAAACGUGGAUGUCCUGACGGUACCUAAAGAAAAAGCACCGGCUAACUUCGUG
rnacentral:rRNA from 1 species